UCAGCAGUUUAAUAAAAAAAAAGAUUCUUCACUGCUUCCUCUGAAAUCAGCUCCUUGAAUCUCUUCACUGUAGGUCAUCCUAGUGCAUGGCUCAUGGGAAGCCGAGCCAAGUUCCCCUGCUGCUGUGCCUAGUGUUUGGCAAUCAUCACACCCACCCUUCAGGAUUUUGCACCUGGCUCUGGUUUGUAAAGUUUCUAGUUGGCAACGUAGAUUGCUGUAUGGUAUGUUCAGCAUUGUUCCUUACCACACAUCAGAAUGGUAGUGGUUCUUGCGUGUAAGCUUACAUCAAUUGCGCACACACAAGUUUAUGAGUCUUAAGUGGACUCAGAGCGAAGGCUUUCACUGAGUUUCUGCCACCUUCCUGCAAAACACAUUAACAGUGGCAGAGUAAUUCAGUAACCCGCUGCUUAAUCCAGAAAGAAUGAGAUCUGAUAUAGUCAUGCUCUGUGGUUGUUAAUGUCAGAGUUAUAUCAACAACCCCAGGGCUGCCGGCUUUAUUUAUUUAAAAGAAGAAGAAUCUGGAGAUAGCAACAAUUAUGUUAGAUUAACCUUGGCAUUACUCCAGUAGGAAAGGAGUAUUGCCAGAGCCAAACAUUGUUCCAAAUAUAAUAUAUCUGUUACUGUUCCUGGGUUUCUAUUUAUUAUGUUUGGAACACUAAUCUGUACUUAAUUGCAGGAACAGAAUGCCAGCGUAUCAUGCCAACUAGGUUUCUUAUGAUCUCGUGUUUAGCUGUGAGGGGGAAAAAGUCUCCUUCUAUCUCUGCUUGCGGUUUCAAAGCAGCUGUCUUUGAUCUUGUAGUUUCGUGUGUUUUCUGUUUCCUCCUUUUUUCAUCUGGGAUAAUUAAUGCAAUUAUGAAACUGUAAUCUUUCUUCCCCUUUCUAUAUUCCCCACUCCCAAACAAUAUCAUGUUUUGUCAUCCAAGACAACAACAUAGCACCUCUUGCUUCCAGAUUUGUGACAUUUUUGAUCAUCUGGCAGUUGAUGGUCUAAAUAAAAUUGAUAGUCCUGAUGAGAGAAGACCAUUUGAAUAAAGGGUAAAUCAACAGUGAUUAAAUUGCAGCUAGCAGUUGGACUAGGCCCAUGUCUCUUAACUCCAGCAAUUCACAUUAAGGUAUUCUUGUCUACACAUGAGCUUUUCUAUGAAUCAGUUGGAAUGAUAAAUGAGUGUAUGAUUCUACUAGUUCUGUUGUAUCUUUGAACUAUUUUUGAUACCAUUAUCCACAGUAUCUUUAUGGACUGCCUAGCUAGAACGGAUUUGGGAACACCGUGUUAUGAGAGCUCUGAUCCUACUUGAAUGCUCAGUUUUCCUGUGCCCCGUGGUCUGUGGAGUACUGUAAGAGUUUGAGGAAGUCAGGGGGUCCUGCCCUUGGAAUAAAGAAAACAUACUCCCUUAAGCCAAGGGGAAGAGACACAAGCCAUAUUUAUGAAUGUCAGCUGGGUGAUUGUGAAGGUGUGUGUGAAGAGUGGGGCUGGGGGAAGAUAAAAAGAAUGAACACUGAGAAGCAGGGAGGGAGAGUGAGUGAUCAGAUGCCUUUAGAUCUGAUUGUGACGUGAUGCAAUAAAAGACUAAUUUGUCUGACUGGAUAUUCAGCCUCAACCCCAUGCUUUCAAGCUACCCAGUCACUUCUGUCCACCCAGGAAGGAAGAAGGGGAGGAAGGAGAAGAGGAAGAGGAAGGAAACCCUGGUUCCUGGAUGACAGAGCUUUGCCAAGCAAGUUUAUCAGCAUUUACAGAGGCACCAAGACUGUUAAAACUUCCUUUUUUAAACCCAUCUGGAAGACUUAACAACCUGCACCAUCAGAAAGCAAUAGUAAUAUUGCUAGGGAAUUUUAGAUAUUGGAUGCAUUAAUUGGAGGCCUCUCAAUUUCUCUUUGUGGAUCUACAGUUGAGUUUGUCUCCCCAUCAUCCAAUGCUUGAACUGGAGCAAAAAUGUGAACCACCUAAAAUAACCAGGAUUGUUUUUUGAAGCCCUACUUGUGUUGGCCCAAAGUGGAUGCUUUUUAAUCCCCCCUGAAUUGCUUUAUAUAUUACUUUAUAUAAAAAUAAUAAUUUUC